rnacentral:rRNA from 1 species
AGGGAAUAGAUACCCCGGUAGUCCAUGCUGUAAACGAUGGAUGCUAGCUGUGAUGCGUAUCGACCCGCGUCGUAGCGAAGCUAACGCGUUAAGCAUCCCGCCUGUGGAGUACGGCCGCAAGGCUAAAACAUAAAGGAAUUGACGGGGACCCGCACAAGCGGUGGAGCGUGUUGUUUAAUUCGAUGGUAAGCGAAGAACCUUACCCAGGUUUGACAUCCUUGGAAGUUCUGCGAAAGCAGAGUGUGCCUUCGGGAACCAAGUGACAGGUGAUGCAUGGCCGUCUUCAGCUCGUGUCGUGAGACGUUAGGUUAAGUCCUUCAACGAGCGCAACCCUUAUAGUUAGUUGUAUUUUCUAGCUAGACUGCCCUGGUAACAGGGAGGAAGGAGGGGACGAUGUCAGGUCAGUAUCUCCCUUAUAUCUGGGGCUACAAACACGCUACAAUGGCCGGUACAAAGGGAAGCUAACCCGCGAGGGGGUAGCAAAUCCCAUCAAAGCCGGUCUCAGUUCGGAUUGUAGGCUGAAACUCGCCUGCAUGAAG